GUAGGGUGCAAGCGUUAAUCGGAAUUACUGGGCGUAAAGCGUGCGCAGGCGGUUUGGUAAGUCUGUCGUGAAAGCCCCGGGGCGUUAACCUGGGGAAUUGCGAUGGAGACUGCAAGGCUUGAAUCUGGCAGAGGGGGGUAGAAUUCCACGUGUAGCAGUGAAAUGCGUAGAGAUGUGGAGGAACACCGAUGGCGAAGGCAGCCCCCUGGGUCAAGAUUGACGCUCAUGCACGAAAGCGUGGGGAGCAAACAGGAUUAGAUACCCUGGUAGUCCACGCCCUAAACGAUGUCUACUAGUUGUCGGGUCUUAAUUGACUUGGUAACGCAGCUAACGCGUGAAGUAGACCGCCUGGGGAGUACGGUCGCAAGAUUA
rnacentral:rRNA from 1 species